rnacentral:rRNA from 1 species
CUGAAAUCAGACGAGACUACCCGCUGAACUUAAGCAUAUCA